rnacentral:rRNA from 1 species
AUACGGGGGGAGCAAGCGUUGUUCGGAAUUACUGGGCGUAAAGGGCGCGUAGGCGGCCUUGUAAGUCGGGUGUGAAAUGCCGGGGCUCAACUCCGAGCACUGCACCUGAUACUGCUUGGCUAGAGAGAGGUAGAGGCGAGCGGAAUUCCCGGUGUAGCGGUGGAAUGCGUAGAUAUCGGGAAGAACAUCAGUGGCGAAGGCGACUGUCUGGCUCAACACUGCCGCUGAGGUGCGAAAGCGUGGGUAGCAAACAGGAUUAGAUACCCGAGUAGUCC